rnacentral:rRNA from 1 species
ACGGAGGAUCCGGGCGUUAUCCGGAAUUACUGGGUUUAAAGGGUGCGUAGGCGGGGCUUUAAGCCGGCGGUGAAAUGCAGAGGGUCAACCGCUGGAAUGCCGUUGGGACUGGGGCUCUUGGAUACGGUCGGGGCGGGGGGAAGACGUGGGGAAGCGGUGAAAUGCAUAGAUAUCACGAGGACCGCCGGUAGCGAAGGCAUCUCGCCGGGCCGGUAUUGACGCUGAGGCACGAAAGCGUGGGGAUCGAACAG